AAUGAUCCUUCAAUUAUAACAGGCUGAGAAUCUCUGCUCAGGCUAUGCUGCAGCUAAGAAAGGCACCAUAGAAUACCUUUACAAGGAAACCCUGGCAGAAUUCAGAGGCUUCCAUUCCUCAGUGUCCUGAGAGUUUUUACGCCUUCCCUGCUGAGGUCUGAUGAUGUGGCUCCCAUGCUUUCCAUCUGGUGAUGUGCUCCAGAAGACACCUAGCAACCAUUAAUGAACGUUGAAUUCAGAGGACCAGACCUGCAGCAAAUCAGCUGCAUGGGGGUAGCAUAAGGGCUUGAUCUACUUACUAAGAACAGCUAUGAGAAUCAAAAUUAGAAAAAAUUCAAACAAGUUCAUUUAAAAGUACUACCAUACAUCUAGAGGAUUCAUUCAUUUCAUCUUAUGACCCAUAUUUUCCAAGUGACAGUUGUUCUGUGUUUGGAACUGAUCCUGGCUGAGUGAAUGAAAUGUGGAAAGUAGAGCCAAUUGCCAGAGUCUGAGGCUGUAUUCCCUGGCUCUGCUGGCCUGAUCUGGAUGUCUCCAGGCCAUGAACCAAAAUCUUGGGCUUCUCCAGCUGCUGGGGUUUACACUGGGAUGUUCGUAAUCCCUGGACCUGAUGAGUUUGCCAAUCCAAUCCAGUCCAGUGCAGUCCAACUGGUGUUCCUGAAUGAGAGUGAACAUUCAGGAUAACCUUUUAAGUAAUAAGCUCCAGUAUUUAUGUGCAAACAUUUUCUCCACAAAUUAGUUAUGUAGAUUUUUACGCUCAUGAUUGCAUAUAUACACACAAGAAAACUGAAUAACAUAAUGACUUCACAAAAUAACAGCUCACCAGGUGUUUACUUAAAAUCCAGUGAAAUCUGUUAUGUAGAUAUAUAUAUAUAUGUAUUUUUUUUUCUCCAAAUUUUUGCCUUUCUUAAGGGACUUUUAAUAAAAGUAAAUAUUUGGAUCAUUCUUCAUAAACACUGAGUUACCAAAAAGAUGUUGACUUUUGAAAGCUUCCAAUUAGGCCUGCUUCUUGACCUAUUUUAGGAGUUUUAUUAAACUAAUAAUAUUGUUCUCCCUGGAUUAUGAUUCUGAGGGAGACUAUGAUUCAAAGUG